AAUUAUAAAUUGAGAAAGAAAACUUGUUUGCUUGGUGACCGGCAUGUGAUUAAAGCAGUAUGCAUUUUUGCCGCAUAACUAUUACUAUGCAAGUCGAUUAGCUUGCACAUGUGAAAUAUUGCAGUUGAAUCGACGGAUAGUUCAUUUAGGUUCAAGAGUUCAAGUGUUCUUUCAGCACUGUAACUACAAACAAUGACGACCAUCCUGACUUGGUCAAUGUACCAGCAGCAGCAGUUGGUGGAAGAGAAAACGGAAAAACACAGCCUGGAAAAAGAGACCUUUGCUCGGCGCUUACAGGAGAAGUGAUGGCCCAGGGGGACAAACUGGACGAGCGAAUCAGCAGUAUGAGGAGUGAGAUAUCAGAGCUGAAGCAGUGGAUCAUGAUGCUACAGAAUAGUGGAGGGGAUCUCAACCCAGAACAAGGCGAUGUAGUCAGACCAGCCCCAUCCCCUCCCCGUCCGGACCAGAGCCGCUUUCAACCACCUGCAGCCGAAAGCUAUCAAAAAAUUGACCUGGAGUGCUUUAAAGAUGGACAAUGAGACAUAC